rnacentral:rRNA from 1 species
AACGAACGCUGGCGGCAUGCCUAACACAUGCAAGUCGAACGAUGGCUUCGGCCAUAGUGGCGCACGGGUGCGUAACGCGUGGGAACCUGCCCUUAGGUUCGGAAUAACUCAGAGAAAUUUGAGCUAAUACCGGAUAAUGUCUUCGGACCAAAGAUUUAUCGCCUUUGGAUGGGCCCGCGUAGGAUUAGCUAGUUGGUGGGGUAAAGGCCUACCAAGGCGACGAUCCUUAGCUGGUCUGAGAGGAUGAUCAGCCACACUGGGACUGAGACACGGCCCAGACUCCUACGGGAGGCAGCAGUGGGGAAUAUUGGACAAUGGGCGAAAGCCUGAUCCAGCAAUGCCGCGUGAGUGAUGAAGGCCUUAGGGUUGUAAAGCUCUUUUACCCGGGAUGAUAAUGACAGUACCGGGAGAAUAAGCUCCGGCUAACUCCGUGCCAGCAGCCGCGGUAAU